rnacentral:rRNA from 1 species
CGGGUGAGUAACACGUAGAGAACCUACCUUACACAGGGGGACAACGGCUGGAAACGGCUGCUAAUACCGCAUAAGCACCCAGCUUCGCAUGAAACAGAGUGAAAAGAGUAAAUCGGUGUAAGAUGGCUCUGCGUCUGAUUAGCUAGUUGGUGGGGUAAAGGCUCACCAAGGCGACGAUCAGUAGCCGGCCUGAGAGGGCGACCGGCCACAUUGGGACUGAGACACGGCCCAGACUCCUACGGAAGGCAGCAG